AUUCAUUUAGUAUAACAAGUAUAUAAAGCUUCCAACUUUAAGGUUUUUUAAAAUGAAUA
rnacentral:tRNA from 1 species